UUCGGCAUAGCUCAGUCGGUAGAGCAGGUGGCUGUUAACCACCGGGUCGGGGGUUCGAGUCCCUCUGCCGAAGCCA
rnacentral:tRNA from 1 species